GGAAAACCAUACCCAUAGGCCAUACCUGGAGCAUGUACAAAAGUGAAACCCUAAAAUCUCAGUAAUAGAAUCCUUGAAACCAGAAGGAAACAUCCCAGGAUAAACUGAGGAGUGAGCACAGACUGGGGCUUACAGAAGAACAUCUCCAUUCUAGAACUGUGUCUUUGGCUGCAGUAGUUACAGGUUAUUAUUUAUUUCUCAGAAGACUGAUAAUAGAACUCAUAAUACAUUUUACUUAUUUAAGGAACUUCCAGAGAGUCAAUGCAAAGCAGCCCACGUUAUCUACAAAUAAAUGAAAUACUAUUAAUCAGUGAUCAAGAAUUUCUCCCAUGCCACAUAAUGGAUCAGCAUUGGAAGUUUUGUGUGGAAUGUGAGGAACUAACACCCUAAAACCUUGGUUUCUUAAUAUUUUAUUGGAUAUUUGUUCAAAUUACCAACAAACAUUUAUAUUUCAUCUUGUAUAAUCUGGUGGGCCUAUUUUAACAUACACUUUAUGAGUUGCUAUUUAGGAUGUAUGUUUACUGUUCUUAAGAUGUAUGUAACUGUUCAACAAUUAUAUAAGAUUAAUGCUUUUUUGCCAUUGAAAUAAAGGCACAUUUGAACUAGACCAUAUUGAUUGGCUCUCUGGCUUUCUUUUUACUAAUAUAAACUUAAAACUAACUUUUCAAUCAACACCUCUACCUUUGUAUAAAAAACAAUUGAUCCCUAAGGAAAUGAGGAUACAAGUAAGUGUAAUCCAUGGAUAAUUGGUCCUAAAAAGGCCCAGGUUAAACAAAUCCCUUAAGAACUUAAAGUCCUA
rnacentral:lncRNA from 1 species